UACGGGGGGGGCAAGCGUUGUUCGGCAUUACUGGGCGUAAAGGGCUCGUAGGCGGCCAACUAAGUCAGACGUGAAAUCCCUCGGCUUAACCGGGGAACUGCGUCUGAUACUGGAUGGCUUGAGUUUGGGAGAGGGAUGCGGAAUUCCAGGUGUAGCGGUGAAAUGCGUAGAUAUCUGGAGGAACACCGGUGGCGAAGGCGGCAUCCUGGACCAACACUGACGCUGAGUGAGCGAAAGCCAGGGGAGCAAACGGG
rnacentral:rRNA from 1 species